CUAUAUAUAGCACACAUGACACACCCAAUCAAAAAACGCGUAUUCACAAAAAGAAACACAGAGCCUUCGAAGCUGUGCGUUUUGAGCCAUCGCCUUUCUCUCUAUCUUCCCGAUUUCGGAGCUCCUCCGAAUCUCUCUCUCUCUUUCAUUCAAUUUCUCGCUGUAUCGCUCGCCGCCGGGCAAGUUGAUGUUUUGAGAAGGGACUUUUAUAAGCAUUCCAAAAGACAGAAUGGUCAUUACAGGAAUGAUUCUCAUGGCGCUGAAUAUGGUCGGGGCCGUGAUCAUGGUGCUAGACGUAAGAAUGGGUACCAUUAUUCUUCGAGAACUCGUGACUGGGGGUCUAGUAGAGAUGGGCUUGGCAGUAGAAUCGAGGAGAGAAAGGUGGAAGAUUUGUCAAAGGGUGAUAAAGUUGCAGGUUAUGAAGAUGGGGUUCGGCUGCCUGCAGAAAAGAAGAGGAAGAUCUCUCCAAUUGUGUGGGACAGAGAAGAGAAGGAUGUGAGGGUCUCAUCUAAGAAUAGAGUUGUACUGGUUGCUCCACUGCCGUCUCCUUGCCCACCUGCACCCAGCUCAAGUGGUGUGGCAUGUCAUGAUGUUUUGGAUGUGGAUGUUUCGAAGUGUGCUGUUUCAGGAGUUGAGAUUCAGGGAUUUGAUAAUUUGGCAGAUAAGGUUGCUGUGGAAGAUGGGUUGGUGGGUGAACUGAAUUCUCAAACUGAUUUGUCCUCUUCAUUGCCUUCAGAGCAAUCUGGGGAUGACUGUAGACAAGAACAUGUGGAGGAAGAAGAGUUUGUUGGAGCACGGAAUAUCUCAAUGUCAAGGUGGGCUUCUGAUGAUGAAGCUUUGGAUGACUCUAGGAGGUCGAGUCCUGAGAGUGGGGAGAUCUGUACAGAACUCUCAGGAGAGGGUAGGGCUAGGUCAUCUAGCUUUGAUAGAGAUGGUUGUUCUGUGGGACCUGUCAGUGGAAAUACAUAUUGUGAGAGUGAGUUGUUAGAUGCUGAUUCAAUGGGUAUUGAUGACAAACAAGGUGAGAAUGCUAGUGUUAUGGGGUCAGAUGCAGACUCAGAGGAUGAUGGUGAUGCCCGUCAUGUUGAAGAGACUAGAGUCCCUACCCAAAGAAGCACAAACAUGCUUCAGGGUUGUAGAAGUGUGUACGAGUUUGAAUACCUUAAAAAGAUAAAUGAAGGCACUUAUGGGGUUGUGUAUAAAGCCAAGGAUAAGAAGACGGGGGAAAUUGUGGCCUUGAAGAAGGUGAAGAUGGGUGUAGAAAAGGGGGAUGGUUUCCCUUUGUCAUCAUUGAGGGAAAUAAACAUUCUCAUGUCUUUCAAUCACCCUUCUGUUGUUGGUGUUAAAGAAGUUGUUAUGGAUGAGGAUGACUUUGAUAGUGUUUUCAUGGUUAUGGAGUACAUGGAAUCUGAUGUCAAGGGUGUAUUGGAGGCAAUGAAAGUCAAGAAACAGCUUUAUUGUAUGAGUGAAGUUAAAUGCUUGAUGCGGCAGCUGUUGGAGGGUGUCAAGUAUCUUCAUGACAAUUGGGUGAUUCAUAGAGAUUUGAAGACAUCAAACCUUCUAUUGAGCAAUGAGGGUGAGUUGAAAAUAUGUGACUUCGGGCUGUCUCGCCAAUACGGGAGCCCACUAAAGCCCUAUACCCCUCUUGUGGUGACCCUCUGGUACAGAGCACCUGAACUUCUGCUAGGCACAACGAAGUACUCAACAGCAAUUGAUAUGUGGUCAGUGGGAUGUAUAAUGGCUGAAUUGGUAGCGCAGGAAGCACUUUUCAGAGGAAAAAAUGAAAUUGAUCAGCUCGGCAAGAUUUUUCAAAUUCUUGGCACACCAAAUGAUAAGAUUUGGCCUGGAUUAACAAAAUUGUGGGGAGUUAGACCAAAUAUAAAGCAACCGUAUAAUCUAUUGCGGAAAAAGUUUCCUGCCAGAUCCUUCAUAGGAUCUCCUGUUCUUUGUGAUUCAGGAUUUGACUUGUUGAACAAACUUUUAACUUACGACCCAGAGAAGCGGAUAACUGCAGAGGCCGCUCUUAAGCAUGACUGGUUUAGCAAUCUGGCAGCCUGAUAAUGCUUUAGAGCUAAGCGUUGUGCCAUAUCUUCUUCAGCAAACUUUAUAUCCACCUAUUUGAGUUUAUGGGUGUACGAGAGGGUGCUUUUUUGGCGUGUGGGACCUUGAGGCUGUUAUCUAUGUUUUGUUAAUGAUUGUGUUGAUCGACUUUCUUUGGUAUCAGGGUGGCUUCAUAAGUUGUGACCUCAGAUCUUGAAGUCUUGAAAUCUAGUCAGUACACAGCUCAACUGGCUUCUAUUUGAGAUUUUCUUCCUUUCCAUUGCAAUUUAUAACCCUCACACAAUUCACACAUGGUAUGUUGAUAAGGAGGAAUGUCUUGUAAAUUUUACCUUUGUCCUUGGCAAAGUAUUGAUUUUGUACAUUAUCUGUUGCUAAACUACUUUUCAAAAAAAAAAAAAGUUUAUAGAUUGCUUCCUUUACAUGUUCUCUUUGUUAUUUCCAUCUUUUUUCCUCUCCUUUUUCCACUUACUUCAUUAAUCCUUUAUCAUUAUUUAUGUUUUCUUCAUUUAUGACUUGUUUCUGCCUGUGUAAAUUUAUGAGUUAGGAAUUAUCACUUGCUGUGUUAACAAAGUUACCUUGCCGUUCUGUUGUACAUUGGUAAGCAAUUGGCUGGUAUGUUCCAAACUUGGUCUUGUAGGAGUGCUGAUGAGAUACCUUUUGUUUCUGCUACGUGGUAUGUUAUUAUUAGUUAUUAUGGGUGGGAAAAAAAUUAAUUUCCUUAUAAUAACAUGACACUGUGCUGCUAUUAAUCACCUUGAAAAUUCUGUUCUACUUUCUUUUGAAGUUUAUUUGUUAGAUCAUUUAAUUUUAUUGCAUAUUGGAUACUAAAUGAGGUACUGAAGGUUCUUUAUACUUUUUAGCUAUUCAAAUUGAAAUAGCUGACACUUUCCUUGCAAACACUCACCAUUACAUACAAUCGCAUGAUCACAGUUUUUAUUUACAUAUUUUACAUUUUUACUCAUAUAAUGUAUUUAGUUUUUCAAUCAAAGCAGUAAAGAUGGUGGAUGAUGAGGUCCAAGGUUUCCAUGAUAGUGACAUUGAUGAGCAACGAUGUUAUUGGGUGAGGAAAAUGCUUUACUCAAAGAUGAUGUUGAAAUGUUGUACCUUUGGCAGUAUGGAUAAGAUGCAGAGUUUAUGCAAGUUAUGUGAAUUUUAAUUUUUGUUUAUUCAAUUAUUUGAUCCAUAAAAAUAUGAAUCUGCACUUCCUCUCAUUUUUCUGCAAUAAAAUAAACUAUUUCAUUCA